rnacentral:lncRNA from 10 species
UCCUCCAAAUUGAGAUGACGACUGGAAAUAUCAAUGUGGGAGUCAUUGGAUAUAAAGUGGAUAGAAGCCAUGAAAUGAAAUGAGAUCUUCUAGGAAUUGAAUAGAAAGAGGGGGAGAAAGAAGGUUCUGACGUGCCCAGAGGCAGGUUGACAUUCAGAGAGCACACAGAGAAGAAAUAGAUUGCAAAAGACAUUAAAGAAAGACAACCAGUGAAAUAAGAGUUUGUGGGAUCACAGAAGCCAAGGAAAGAGAGGCUUCUAAGAAGGAGGAAGAAAUAAAUCGAAAUGAAUGCUGAUGAGACAUUGAAUAAGACAAAGACACAGAAGUGACCCCUGGUCUAGGCAACACGGAGGAUUUUGACAAUUCUGCAUGAGUGGAGUCAUGGGGACAAAAGUGGAGGAUGGAAAUAAUGGGGGUGAAGUAGGUAAGACCAUUAAUAGAGAUAAAUACCUCUUUAAGUAGUUUUGCUGUGAAGUGGAAGGGUGAAACUGGAUAUCAAUUGAAGAGAAAUGUCCAGGAAAAAGAUAUUUCUCUGCUGUUUUAAGAUGGAAGGCACUCUCCCUUAUGUCUGUGUACAGAUUGCAAAGGGAUACAGAGAGAGAAAAAAAUUGAUGAGGCAGGAU